UCUGCCCUCCUCCCAGUUCCAUGCUAGGUGCCAAAUCUGUGCCUCAAAACACUUAGCUUUUGGUUAUCACACCUUUUUCAUUUGUUCUCCUUUCCACCACCCUCACUUUCUCUUUCAACUCAUAUUUCUGCCUAACCUAGCACUCUGCCUUCAUUCUCUACCACUUCAAAGCAACUUUGCAGCCACCAGUAGGUAUCAUUCUGCUGACAAGCCUUAGAUAUUCCCCACUGUGUAGAAGAGUAAAAUCCAAACUUUGCAGUCUGCCUGCCGCCACCAUUGCCACUACAGCAGACACAUCAAACCACAUAGCACCCUGGACCUCCUUUUUUUCCCUCACUCGGAUUCCUCAAGGGCUCUCUGGAGUGGUCUAAUAAGACGAACAGUAUAAAGGAAAGAGCUGAGUCUGAAUUCCAGUGUCCUUCAUUUUGUUAUCUCUUGGGAAUUCCUCUGAGCGUUGGUUUAUUCCUUGCUGUCUAAG